rnacentral:lncRNA from 1 species
GGGGAGGGAGAAUGACCUUUUGUAGAGUCGGCCGUCCAUUAUCACGUAUUGGGAGGCCGCCCAUUGGAGUCGUUUGGCUUUCGUGGGGUCUUCAGGAUUGGUUCCAUCGAUCAAAUAUCGUAUGAUCGGAUCCAUCCAGCUUGGUUCGGUCAUCAGUUGCAGCACCUCCUCGGCUCUGUCGAUGCUCGGCUGCUCGAGGCUCUCCACGAAUGUCCGACC